UUGUUUUACAAUGAGUAAUUUUUAAUAAUUGACUGAUAUUUUUUAAAUUCAUUGAAUUUACCAUUGAUAUCAUCAAGUAUGGGAGUUAAAAUCAAAGAAUGGUCCCAAGGUCAGCACAAUUUGGUUAUUGACUUGUAUAAGCAAGGUAAAACAUUUAGGUCAAUAAAUGAAGUGACUGCAAUGGCAUUAGGAACCAUCAGCGAUAUGAUUAAAAAGUAUAAUAUGUUUGGAUACGGGCAAAAUCAGCCAAGAUCCAGACCUAAGCGUAAAACAACACAGAGAAAAGAUGAACAAGUUGUCAAGAUGGUGCAAAAAAACCGUUUUUUAUCAGCACCAAGUGUCAAGCCUCCUUAAGAAAGAUUUUGGGUUACAAGUGAGCUCAUGUACUAUUUGAAAUCAAUUAAACGAAAGUGGAUUCAAAACAAGAGUUUCACGCAAGAAAUGAUUCCUUUCAAAAAUCCAUCAAAAAUGAAGACUCAUAUUAGCUAAAAAAUAUGUAAUUAUGUCAGUAUCAUUCUGGAGGAAAGUUUUGUGGACGGACCAGUCAAAAUUUAAUCUUGUGAAGUCAGAUGGUCCUCAAAAAGUAUGGAGAAAAAAAGGCAAAGUAUUGUUAUUCACCUCCCCAUGGCGAGAAGGCUACUACAGAUGAGUAGGCUAUUAAUUGUGGUUAUAACCCUCUCUCAACUCUAUAACUGCGAAACACAAAUCUUGAUGAACAAGCCGCUGCAUGGAGAAACAAGUUGAAUAUAUACAUAUUCAGAUACAUAUCAUUGCGUCUUACUUCUGCCAAGAUCAAUACAUCAGAUUUCGUU